rnacentral:lncRNA from 1 species
GCCAAUAUCAUCAUGACCACAACUAUGACACCGAGGAGUGCAUGUAGCUAUCGGAAGAAAUUGAGACACUCAUUAAGCAAGAAUGGCUCAGAUGAUAUGUGGAUGGCUGAUCGAACCAAAAUAAUAUCUGUAUUGAACCUCAACAGCUCGAGGGCAAUCCUAAGAACAGACCUAUGGUAGGCAUCAUCAACACCAUCGCUGGAGGG